AGAGUUUGAUCAUGGCUCAGAACGAACGCUGGCGGCAUGCCUAACACAUGCAAGUCGAACGAACUCUUCGGAGUUAGUGGCGCACGGGUGCGUAACGCGUGGGAAUCUGCCCUUGGGUACGGAAUAACUCCGAGAAAUUUGUGCUAAUACCGUAUAAUGUCUUCGGACCAAAGAUUUAUCGCCCAAGGAUGAGCCCGCGUAAGAUUAGCUAGUUGGUGGGGUAAAAGCCUACCAAGGCGACGAUCUUUAGCUGGUCUGAGAGGAUGAUCAGCCACACUGGGACUGAGACACGGCCCAGACUCCUACGGGAGGCAGCAGUGGGGAAUAUUGGACAAUGGGCGAAAGCCUGAUCCAGCAAUGCCGCGUGAGUGAUGAAGGCCUUAGGGUUGUAAAGCUCUUUUACCCGGGAUGAUAAUGACAGUACCGGGAGAAUAAGCUCCGGCUAACUCCGUGCCAGCAGCCGCGGUAAUACGGAGGGAGCUAGCGUUGUUCGGAAUUACUGGGCGUAAAGAGCCCGUAGGUGGUUUGUCGCGUUGUUCGUGAAAACUCACAGCUUAACUGUGGGCGUGCGGGCGAUACGGGCAGACUAGAGUACUGCAGGGGAGACUGGAAUUCCUGGUGUAGCGGUGGAAUGCGCAGAUAUCAGGAGGAACACCGGUGGCGAAGGCGGGUCUCUGGGCAGUAACUGACGCUGAGGAGCGAAAGCGUGGGUAGCGAACAGGAUUAGAUACCCCGGUAGUCCAA
rnacentral:rRNA from 1 species